rnacentral:lncRNA from 1 species
GGGAAGUUGGAGAAAAGAGCUUUUUUUGCAUUUGGCCCCUUCAAAAAAAUUUAUUUUAAAAAUAGCACCAACAAACUUAUAUUUGCAAAAAUGGCCUUAAUCCUGACACGCAGGCGCCACGUCAGCUGGGCUGGGGCCAGUUUGUUAAGUUGAACAAGGUGAUCCAUUCACCGUGUUUAAAAACAGUGAAUGGUUCACUGUGUUUGGGAAAAAUAUAGUAUAUAUGUAUUGCAUUGCGAAAAAAUAUAAGUAUUGAAAAGGAAAAAAUAGGGGAAUAUACGUAUAGAACACAGUGAACCAUUCACCGUAUUUGAACACGGUGAAUGGUUCACCGUGUUCAACUUAACACCAUACCCCUAAUGUGGCACCUACGUGGCGGGGAUAGGGCCAAAUUUGCAAUUAUAAAUUUGAUGAGGCUAUUUGUAAAAAAAUUAUUUUGAAAGGGCCAAAUGCAAAAA